AAUGAACGAAAGUUUGACACAGCGACACCGCGUGUGGGAUGACGGAUCUAGGUUUGUAAACCACUUUCAGGAGGGAAGAAAAUGACGGUACCUCCACAAGAAGCCCCGGCCAACUACGUGCCAGCAGCCGCGGUAAUACGUAGGGGGCGAGCGUUGUCCGGAUUUAUUGGGCGUAAAGAGCUCGUAGGCGGUUCAACAAGUCGGUCGUGAAAGUUCAGGGCUCAACUCUGAAAUGCGAUCGAUACUGUUGGACUAGGAUACGGUAGAGGUGAGUGGGAUUCCGAGUGUAGCGGUGAAAUGCGUAGAUAUUCGGAGGAACACCAAUUGCGAAGGCAGCUCACUGGACCGCUAUCGACGCUGAGGAGCGAAAGCUAGGGGAGCAAACAGGAUU
rnacentral:rRNA from 1 species